AAUGACCUACUGCCUCCCUUCUUGAUCUUAGCUGUUGCUGAGAGGCAGGCUAACUCUCCUGUCUCUGGAUUCUCUCAAUAUCCCCAUUGCCACUCUUCCCUUUGAGACCCAAGUUACUUCUCAGUUCUGGUCUAGUUCUCUUCCUUGGGGGGAAAGGUAUGAUCUUCCCCAAAUCUUCAGUCCCUUUUUUUUUGAUGUUAGAAAGCAGGUAGACCUGAUCAAAUGGGAUAACACUUUAUUCUUGGGGACACACAAUGCAGGGAGAAUGAGGGUGUUGGAUGAAGAAAGUGGGAGAUAGGAAUCCCUAUGACAACAACUGAUCUCCCCAAAUGCUGAGGGGUUCAGGCUGUCUGCCUGACUCUCCUUUUGGUCAGUUGUUGAAUUUGUCCUUCCUCCUAAGCUAAUCUGGCUAAGAGGUGAAGUCCAGGACAAUUUUGGGGAUAGAGAGAAAUCUUUUAGUAGAUGGCUUUCUAUAAAGUCCCAAUCUACUUUUGUCUUCAGCUGGAACCAGAGAGAUUUAGAAAGUAGUCAAUGUCCAGAGGGAUCCUCUGUCUCAGAGGUCCUCUCUCAGACCCUCCACUCCAGGAGAACUCACAGGAAGAAGUGAUCUGGAAGUUUCAACUUCCCCCAACUCCUCUGUUCCUUCUAGAAUCUUGAGUCUUCAUUGCCCUUCCCCCACUUGGGUUGUUCUUUUGCAAGUUGGAUCUGACUUUUUCUCUUACAUUGUGAACUUUAAAUUACUCUACUCUACUUAGAUCUUACUUUAUGGUGAAGACAAAGUUGUAAUCUCCUGAUUGAACAAUGAAGCAGAGAGGUGGAGAGGUGGCUGGUGGCAGCGUGCUGGGCCUUUCAGCAUCUUGGCAUGGCUACAGAUAUUGUCCGGUUCAGUGAGUGAAGAAAAACUAAAGAAGCAACAGAAUAUGAGACAUGGUCAAAGCAAAGAAAAGUGACAAUGAGUCAAAAUGAUAGAGAAAAGCUGCAGUGGCAGCUGGGAAAUAACUGGGCUAGUGAAGAACAAAGUCAGCUGUGAAAAAGCAGAACAGAAGAGAGCUCUGUGCACUGGAAGGAAUUUGCUUAACAGGUUUUGUGGUUAACAAAGAACUGAUUGCAAAGAAUGUGCCCAUCGAUUGGGGAAUGGCUAAACCAAUUGCAGUACAUGGACAUAAUGGAAUACUAUUGUGCUACAGAAAUUAUGAACUUGAAGAAUUUAGAGGAAUGUGACAAGACUUAUAUAAUGCAAUAAUAAAGUAAAGCAAAACUAGGAAAACAAUAUAUAGUUCUAUAAAUUACAAAACUUAAAAGAAUAAAACAAAGUUCACCACUGAAUAAUGGCAAUUCUUAGUUCUAAAGAGUUAAGAAAAUAUAUGAGUUUUUUCUUGGAGGUGGGGGUGAAGUGGGCGGUGGUCUAUCUUUGGUGAGGAAUGUUGCAUACACUGUCAGGUAAGUUCACUAUAUUAGUUGGUUUUGCUUAACUGUUAUUCUUUGUUACAAGGGAAGAUUAACAGAUGGGGAAGGGGAAAGGAAUAUAAGUAGAAAGGACUAUCAUAUUAAUGAAAAAAAGAAUAUUUCUAAAAAUAAUCUACAUAAUGUCUAGCAAGGAAUCUAUACAAAUCCAACAGAGAGGAUUAUGAAUUAAGAAUAAGGGCAAAUUAAGAAUAAAUGACCAAUUGGAACUUUCUUUAAUUGUGGUGUUUCUGGAGAAAUCUACAUGAAGCUUCAAGGAAAUAAUUUUUGAAAUUAUUAAUGAAUUAAUAAGCUAGGAAAGUAUUAACAAACCUCAU